UAGAGUUUGAUCCUGGCUCAGAACGAACGCUGGCGGCAGGCUUAACACAUGCAAGUCGAGCGCCCCGCAAGGGGAGCGGCAGACGGGUGAGUAACGCGUGGGAAUCUACCCUUUUCUACGGAAUAACGCAGGGAAACUUGUGCUAAUACCGUAUGUGUCCUUCGGGAGAAAGAUUUAUCGGGAAAGGAUGAGCCCGCGUUGGAUUAGCUAGUUGGUGGGGUAAAGGCCUACCAAGGCGACGAUCCAUAGCUGGUCUGAGAGGAUGAUCAGCCACAUUGGGAAUGAGACACGGCCCAAACUCCUACGGGAGGCAGCAGUGGGGAAUAUUGGACAAUGGGCGCAAGCCUGAUCCAGCCAUGCCGCGUGAGUGAUGAAGGCCCUAGGGUUGUAAAGCUCUUUCACCGGAGAAGAUAAUGACGGUAUCCGGAGAAGAAGCCCCGGCUAACUUCGUGCCAGCAGCCGCGGUAAUACGAAGGGGGCUAGCGUUGUUCGGAAUUACUGGGCGUAAAGCGCACGUAGGCGGAUCGAUCAGUCAGGGGUGAAAUCCCAGGGCUCAACCCUGGAACUGCCUUUGAUACUGUCGAUCUGGAGUAUGGAAGAGGUGAGUGGAAUUCCGAGUGUAGAGGUGAAAUUCGUAGAUAUUCGGAGGAACACCAGGGCGAAGGCGGCUCACGGUCCAUAACGACGCGAGGGGGAAGCGGAGGAACAUU
rnacentral:rRNA from 1 species